GAUGAACGCUGGCGGCGUGCCUAAUACAUGCAAGUCGAACGCAUUGUGGUUGAAAUGAUAUGAAGAACUUGUUCAGAUUUGAUUUUCAACAUUGCAAUGAGUGGCGAACGGGUGAGUAACACGUGGGAAACCUACCUCUUAGCAGGGGAUAACAUUUGGAAACAAAUGCUAAUACCGUAUAAUAAUUAAAACCGCAUGGUUUUAGUUUAAAAGAUGGUCUUGCUAUCACUAAGAGAUGGUCCCGCGGUGUAUUAGUUAGUUGGUGAGGUAAUGGCUCACCAAGACAAUGAUACAUAGCCGAGUUGAGAGACUGACCGGCCACAAUGGGACUGAGACACGGCCCAUACUCCUACGGGAGGCAGCAGUAGGGAAUCUUCCACAAUGGACGAAAGUCUGAUGGAGCAACGCCGCGUGUGUGAUGAAGGGUUUCGGCUCGUAAAACACUGUUGUAAGAGAAGAAUGACAUUGAGAGUAACUGUUCAAUGUGUGACGGUAUCUUACCAGAAAGGAACGGCUAAAUACGUGCCAGCAGCCGCGGUAAUACGUAUGUUCCAAGCGUUAUCCGGAUUUAUUGAGCGUAAAGCGAGCGCAGACGGUUAUUUAAGUCUGAAGUGAAAGCCCUCGGCUCAACCGAGGAAUUGCUUUGGAAACUGGAUAACUUGAGUGCAGUAGAGGAAAGUGGAACUCCAUGUGUAGCGGUGAAAUGCGUAGAUAUAUGGAAGAACACCAGUGGCGAAGGCGGCUUUCUGGACUGUAACUGACGUUGAGGCUCGAAAGUGUGGGUAGCAAACAGGAUUAGAUACCCUGGUAGUCCACACUGUAAACGAUGAGUGCUAGUUGUUCGAGGGUUUCCGCCCUUGAGUGAC
rnacentral:rRNA from 1 species